UCACUCAUGACUUUAAUCUGUGGAAGCAGAUUAUUAACUGCAGUUUGUUUCUGUUGCAGACCGGAGAGACGAACACAAAGAUGAACCGUAUGUCCUGGAUGACGCUGGUGUUCCUGCUGUCGGCUGGAAGCAGUUUCUCUUGGGAUGUGAACGAGCUGACUGGUAUUGUAACUGCCAUCAGGGAAGAGUGAGUACAGAAUAAAGAACCAGUUCUGUCUGGCUGCAAACAUCCCACUGAACCGCCAAAACACAAACACCCUUUCUAAUGUCCUUCAAGAUGACCACUACGACAACAAUAUGAAACAAACGCUUAAAGAGAAAGAGGUGUACGAGGGCACAAAUGUGGUUAUAGCCACACAUGUAGAACCUGAACAUGCAGAACAUCGAGUUCUGACAAAAUUGCAAAACUUGAUCAUAAAUAGUCAGAGAAACCGCCUGCUCAUCUACUCUUACCUCUCCCCAUGUGUAGGCAAGUGUACAGACCGAAGCAAAAAGUACAACAUCCUUAGAGACAUUGAACGUAAUGUCAUUCCAAAAUGGCCUGAUCGCGUGGCCUUUGUGUUUACAACAGUCUGUGA